rnacentral:rRNA from 1 species
AGAGUUUGAUCCUGGCUCAGAACGAACGCUGGCGGCGUGCCUAACACAUGCAAGUCGAACGGAGUGAAGGAGCUUGCUCUUUCAUUUAGUGGCGCACGGGUGAGUAACGCGUAGAUAAUCUGCCUUGGACUCUGGGAUAACAUCUCGAAAGGGGUGCUAAUACCGGAUAAGCCCACGAUGGCGUAAGUCAUUGCGGGAAAAGGGGGCCUCUGAAUAUGCUCCUGAUUCAAGAUGAGUCUGCGUACCAUUAGCUAGUUGGUAGGGUAAGAGCCUACCAAGGCGACGAUGGUUAGCUGGUCUGAGAGGAUGAUCAGCCACACUGGAACUGAGACACGGUCCAGACUCCUACGGGAGGCAGCAGUGGGGAAUUUUGCGCAAUGGGGGAAACCCUGACGCAGCAACGCCGCGUGAGUGAUGAAGGCUUUCGGGUCGU